GAUGAACGCUGGCGGCGUGCUUAACACAUGCAAGUCGAACGAAACACCUUAUUUGAUUUUCUUCGGAACUGAAGAUUUGGUGAUUGAGUGGCGGACGGGUGAGUAACGCGUGGGUAACCUGCCCUGUACAGGGGGAUAACAGUCAGAAAUGACUGCUAAUACCGCAUAAGACCACAGCACCGCAUGGUGCAGGGGUAAAAACUCCGGUGGUACAGGAUGGACCCGCGUCUGAUUAGCUGGUUGGUGAGGUAACGGCUCACCAAGGCGACGAUCAGUAGCCGGCUUGAGAGAGUGAACGGCCACAUUGGGACUGAGACACGGCCCAAACUCCUACGGGAGGCAGCAGUGGGGAAUAUUGCACAAUGGGGGAAACCCUGAUGCAGCGACGCCGCGUGAGUGAAGAAGUAUCUCGGUAUGUAAAGCUCUAUCAGCAGGGAAGAAAAUGACGGUACCUGACUAAGAAGCC
rnacentral:rRNA from 1 species